GCUCCUAUCGUCUAGCCCGGUCAAGGACACAGCCCUCUCAAGGCUGAAACUCGAGUUCAAAUCUCGGUGGGAGCA
rnacentral:tRNA from 2 species